CUUGCAUAAAGCUGGAAAGGGUUAUAAAAGUAUCUCCAAAAGCCUUGCUGUUCAUCAGUGCACGGUAAGACAAAUUGUCGAUAAAUGGAGAAAGUUCAGCACUGCUGCUACUCUCCCUAGGAGUGGCCGUCCUGUAAAGAUGACUGCAAGAGCACAGCUCAAUGAGGUGAAGAAGAAUCCUAGAGUGUCAGCUAAAGACUUACAAAAGUCACUGGCAAAUGCUAACAUCCCUGUUAGCGAAUCUACAAUACGUAGAGCACCUGGCAAAAUAUUCUGUGG